rnacentral:rRNA from 1 species
CCUACGGGAGGCAGCAGUGAGGAAUAUUGGUCAAUGGGCGCAAGCCUGAACCAGCCAAGUCGCGUGAGGGAUGAAGGUUCUAUGGAUCGUAAACCUCUUUUAUAAGGGAAUAAAGUGUGGGACGUGUCCUAUUUUGUAUGUACCUUAUGAAUAAGGAUCGGCUAACUCCGUGCCAGCAGCCGCGGUAAUACGGAGGAUCCGAGCGUUAUCCGGAUUUAUUGGGUUUAAAGGGUUGGUUGGCGGGCUUUUAAAUUAGGGGUGAAAGUCUGGGGCUCAACCCUAGACUUGCCGUUGAAACUGGGGUGCUUGAGUGGGUUUGAGGCAGGCGGAAUGCGUGGUGUAGCGGUGAAAUGCAUAGAUAUCACGCAGAACCCCGAUUGCGAAGGCAGCAUGCCAGGGCAUGACUGACGCUGAAGCACGAAAGCGUGGGGAUCAAACAGGAUUAGAUACCCGUGUAGUC